GUGGAACCAAUAAUGUCUUCAGGCUCUUAUUCUCUUCAUUUCUUAAUGUUUUUCAUCUAUCAGUUAUGAUAGGGUUAGUGUUUCCCUGAAGCUUCUACUUUCCUCCUGGUUACAACAUAGAGAAACUUUAUCAAAGAGAAGACAAAGCUACCCUUAGGACCUGAUUGGCCUAUGUAAUUUUCUUAACCUUCCCUGACACAGAUUUCUGGUCAUCUAAGGGUGUAAAAAGUCCCAGUCAUGUGGAAUCUAGACCCUUUGAACUUAAUGAACAUCUGAAGCCUGGGUACAGGUGACAGAGUCCCUGGUUCUGCAAUCAUGAAACAAGAAGACCUGGGAGUAAACAUUACAGAAUCCUCCUGCCACUCCAUUUGGAUAUAGCUUUCUUCAAGCAAGCCACUUAGCAGAACUUUCCAAGUCUGUUCCUUUCUCAUAUCCAAAGUGGACACUUUCUCUUCCAAUAAGGAUUCAUGCUUGCUAAGGCUACCUCCUCCUCAGAGGGACUAUUUCUCUUCAUCUUUGUCUAUCUUGGGGAUGAUAUCCCUCAUCUACUUAUGUUAGAGGCAGCUCAGCCAUCAGCACUCUUUGUUCAAGCUCUAUGUUGGGAUGAAAUGAGGCACGUAUAACAAAAGAAGACUUCUUCUGCCUUAGAACAGCAAGCAUAUGUGACAGAAAUACAUCGACACCUAUCAUCUCUGGAU
rnacentral:lncRNA from 1 species